GUGGGGAAUCUUGCGCAAUGGGCGAAAGCCUGACGCAGCCAUGCCGCGUGAAUGAUGAAGGACUUAGGAUUGUAAAAUUCUUUCACCGGGGACGAUAAUGACGGUACCCGGAGAAGAAGCCCCGGCUAACUUCGUGCCAGCAGCCGCGGUAAUACGAAGGGGGCUAGCGUUGCUCGGAAUUACUGGGCGUAAAGGGCGCGUAGGCGGAUCGUUAAGUCAGGGGUGAAAUCCCAGAGCUCAACUCUGGAACUGCCCUUGAUACUGGCGAUCUUGAGUGUGAGAGAGGUAUGUGGAACUCCGAGUGUAGAGGUGAAAUUCGUAGAUAUUCGGAAGAACACCAGUGGCGAAGGCGACAUACUGGCUCAUUACUGACGCUGAGGCGCGAAAGCGUGGGGAGCAAACAGGAUUAGAAACCCGGGUAGUCC
rnacentral:rRNA from 1 species